rnacentral:lncRNA from 1 species
UCGUGGCUCUCGCAGCCGGCUCCGCUCCUGGCUCGGCUGCUCUUCGCGGGAGCGCUCUGACAGCACCUGCAGGACAGCGCGGGCACGCGGAGCCGGGAAGGGGAAUAAGAAGGGAGCAUAUUGACACACACUUGGCCCACACUGGCACCACACAGAGGCACACAGAAGCUCCUGUAACCUCUCUUCGUCACAUCUCACCUGAGCAGCCCAGCACAGCACUGCCAGUUCUCACAGGGCUCGCUCCAACACACAGCAAAAACGAAGGCACAAGAAAAUUUCCAGUCUGUGACUAUCUGGGAGCCUCCAGGGAUGGAAGGCCAGGAGGCAGGUUGGUACAGCAACCCAUGAGAGCUUGGGGAAACUCAAAGUUAUGCCUGAUUUGUAAGCAUUUUUGAGGUCCCAAAUAUUUAGCUGUGUUGCCUCAUGCUCCUUUUUGUGCAAAGUUAUGAAGACUCAGUACAGAUUCAUAGAUUAUGAGGCUUAAUAGAACCAUUGUGGCUUUUGGAUCUUGCAUAACCCAAGCCAUCAGCUAAAUUGGAAUUAAUUCCUGGUCAAACUAAAUAAUACUUUGUAGGAAAAAGAAAUAAAAUGAAAUCUAAUAACA